rnacentral:rRNA from 1 species
AUUGAACGCUGGCGGCAGGCUUAACACAUGCAAGUCGAGCGAGCGGCGGACGGGUGAGUAAUGUCUGGGAAACUGCCUGAUGGAGGGGGAUAACUACUGGAAACGGUAGCUAAUACCGCAUACCAUCAGAUGUGCCCAGAUGGGAGUAGCUAGUAGGUGGGGUAAUGGAUCACCUAGGCGACGAGCCCUAGCUGGGCUGAGAGGAUGACGAGCAACAGUUGAACUGAGACAAGGGACAGACUCCUACGGUAGGCAGCAGUGGGGAAUAGUGCACAAUGGGCGCAAGCCUGAAGCAGCCAUGCCGCGUGUGUGAAGAAGUCCUUCGGGUUGUAAAGCACUUUCAGCGAGGAGGCGUUACUCGCAGAAGAAGCACCGGCUAACUCCGUGCCAGCAGCCGCGGUAAUAC